AUUGAACGCUGGCGGCAGGCCUAACACGUGCAAGUCGAACGGUAGCAGGAAGAAGCUUGCUUCUUUGCUGACGAGUGGCGGACGGGUGAGUAAUGUCUGGGAAACUGCCUGAUGGAGGGGGAUAACUACUGGAAACGGUAGCUAAUACCGCAUAACGUCGCAAGACCAAAGAGGGGGACCUUCGGGCCUCUUGCCAUCGGAUGUGCCCAGAUGGGAUUAGCUAGUUGGUGGGGUAACGGCUCACCAAGGCGACGAUCCCUAGCUGGUCUGACAGGAUGACCAGCCACACUGGAACUGAGACACGGUCCAGACUCCUACGGGAGGCAGCAGUGGGGAAUAUUGCACAAUGGGCGCAAGCCUGAUGCAGCCAUGCCGCGUGUAUGAAGAAGGCCUUCGGGUUGUAAAGUACUUUCAGCGGGGAGGAAGGGAGUAAAGUUAAUACCUUUGCUCAUUGACGUUACCCGCAGAAGAAGCACCGGCUAACUCCGUGCCAGCCGCCGCAGUAA
rnacentral:rRNA from 1 species